rnacentral:tRNA from 1 species
GCAGAUGUGCUGGAACUGGCAGACAGGCGCGUCUCAGAAGCGCGUGUAUUUACGUACGGGUUCAAGUCCCGUCAUCUGCACCA